UACGGGGGGGGCAAGCGUUGUUCGGAAUUACUGGGCGUAAAGGGCUCGUAGGCGGCCAACUAAGUCAGACGUGAAAUCCCUCGGCUUAACCGGGGAACUGCGUCUGAUACUGGAUGGCUUGAGGUUGGGAGAGGGAUGCGGAAUUCCAGGUGUAGCGGUGAAAUGCGUAGAUAUCUGGAGGAAUACCGGUGGCGAAGGCGGCAUCCUGGACCGGCAUUGACGCUGAGUGAGCGAAAGCCAGGGGAGCAAACGGG
rnacentral:rRNA from 1 species